GCUCUUGUUGUCCAGGCUGGAGUGUGGUCUCGGAUCAUUGCAACCCCUCCACCUCCCGAGUUCAAGUGAUUCUCCUGCCUCAGCCUCCUGAGUAGCUGGGAUCAGAGGCGUGCACACCACCACGCCUGGCUGAUUUUUGUAUUUUUAGUAGAGACGGGGUUUCACCAUGUUGACCAUGCUGAUCUCAAACUCCUGACCUUAGGCAAUCCACCCACCUUGGCCUCCUAAAGUGCUGGGAUUACAGGCAUGAGCCACCAUGCCAGGCCAAGAACGUAAUCUUUUAAAGUGUAAAACAAUUCCUGACCAUC